AUACGGAGGGUGCAAGCGUUAUUCGGAAUCACUGGGCGUAAAGGACGCGUAGGCGGGUUGGCAAGUCAGAUGUGAAAUCCUACAGCUUAACUGUAGAACUGCAUUUGAAACUGCUAACCUAGAGUAUGGGAGGGGGAGAUAGAAUUAGUGGUGUAGGGGUAAAAUCCGUAGAUAUCACUAGGAAUACCGAAAGCGAAGGCGAUCUCCUGGAACAUAACUGACGCUAAGGCGUGAAAGCGUGGGGAGCAAACAGGAUUAGAAACCCUAGUAGUCC
rnacentral:rRNA from 1 species